GAUGAACGCUAGCUACAGGCUUAACACAUGCAAGUCGAGGGGCAGCAUAAUCGAAGCUUGCUUUGAUUGAUGGCGACCGGCGCACGGGUGAGUAACGCGUAUCCAACCUUCCCCAUAGUAGGGCAUAGCCCGUAGAAAUGCGGAUUAAUACCCUAUGUUUUCCUUUGCAGGCAUCUAACGAGGAAUAAAGGUUUACCGCUAUGGGAUGGGGAUGCGUCUGAUUAGCUUGUUGGCGGGGUAACGGCCCACCAAGGCGACGAUCAGUAGGGGUUCUGAGAGGAAGGUCCCCCACAUUGGAACUGAGACACGGUCCAAACUCC
rnacentral:rRNA from 1 species